ACAUCGGUGGUUCAGUGGUAGAAUUCUUGCCUUCCGUGCAUGAGACCUGGAUUCCACUCCUAGCCCACGCA
rnacentral:tRNA from 1 species